rnacentral:tRNA from 1 species
GCCGGGGUGGUGAAAUUGGUAUACACGCAGUCUUGAGGAGGCUGUGCCCAAAAGGCGUGGAGGUUCAAGUCCUCUCCCCGGCACCA